rnacentral:rRNA from 1 species
UAGGGAAUCUUCCGCAAUGGACGCAAGUCUGACGGAGCAACGCCGCGUGAGUGAAGAAGGUUUUCGGAUCGUAAAACUCUGUUGUUAGAGAAGAACAAGUGCUAGAGUAACUGUUAGCGCCUUGACGGUAUCUAACCAGAAAGCCACGGCUAACUACGUGCCAGCAGCCGCGGUAAUACGUAGGUGGCAAGCGUUGUCCGGAUUUAUUGGGCGUAAAGCGAGCGCAGGCGGUUCCUUAAGUCUGAUGUGAAAGCCCCCGGCUCAACCGGGGAGGGUCAUUGGAAACUGGGGAACUUGAGUGCAGAAGAGGAGAGUGGAAUUCCAUGUGUAGCGGUGAAAUGCGUAGAUAUAUGGAGGAACACCGGUGGCGAAAGCGGCUCUCUGGCUUGUAACUGACGCUGAGGCUCGAAAGCGUGGGGAGCAAACAGGAUUAGAUACCCUGGUAGUCCACGCCGUAAACGAUGAGUGCUAGGUGUUAGACCCUUUCCGGGGUUUAGUGCCGUAGCUAACGCAUUAAGCACUCCGCCUGGGGAGUACGACCGCAAGGUUG